CUUCCCUUAAAAAGCUCACCUAACUCACCUAUAAAUAACCUGCCUUAUUUUCGUUCUCUCCUGACUUUCGACUCCAAAAAAAAACGAAGCACCUCUCUCUCUUUGACACACACUAACCUCGCUGCCUCUCUCCAACUUUGUCGCUCAUCUUCGCCUUGUCACUUACAAAUCAACCCAUCUCCUCAAGACUCAGCCCUAAAAUCGCAGCGGCUUCCCAUCUCUACGCGACGGCUUCUAUCUUUCUCCUCGCGAUAAAUCUGUCGAUUCACUGCAAGGUAACAAAAUUAAAUGUGGGUAGAUGGAUUUGCAAGCUUUUAGUGUUGAAUUAGGCUUAAUUUUGUACAUUUUGUGUUUUGGUUUUCAAUAAUUGGUUUUUUAGGGCUAAAAAUUAUUGAGAGGCAAACCCUAGAAUUUGCUUAAUCCAUUUCCGUCAGAUAAUUUUUGAGGGGCUAAUGACUGAAAAUUUUCGUUUGUUUCACAAAAAGAGUAAAUGAGUAAAUGAUUUAUUUUUGACUUAAAAAUUUUCCUUCGGUGUGGUUGUGAUUUAUUGUUGAUUUGUACCAAAAAAUAAGUAAAUGAUUUAUUUUUGACUUAGAAAAUGGGAAUCCAAUAUAUGGAACUUAGGCUGGAGCUUCUGUCUAUACUUGACAACACUGUCACUUGUGUGUUUUCUAUAUAUUCCUAAAAGCUGAGUUUUUGAAAGGAGGAGAAAUUUAUUGUUGCUAUUGAUAAAGAACAAUCAUGUCAUGAUUGUUUCUUUCCGAAGGAUAUACACCUGUGUUGAGCGCAUGCGUUGGGGCAGGCACCAAUAUGCCAUUUUUUUUUCUUUCUUUUGAACUGUUUUUAAUGUCUUAUGCACUGUGGGAUGGGGUACGAGAGUAUGAAAUGAGUUUUCAGGUGUUCUGUGACUACAAGCAUUUUGAAACUUUCGCACCAAUUUGCAGGGGUUUAAAUAGGGUAGAGUAGAAUUACAAGUGUGUUGGUAUAAUCUAUAUCUAUAUAACAGAAAACUUGGAUUCUUUUGUUCUGUUUGAUACUAUCGCUAGGCAAGUAGUUUUAGACCAAUUUAUAUGAAAAAUAUAUACUCCCUCUGUCCUAAUUCACUGUAUAAUGUUAUUAGAAAUCAAGCUACAUUCACUGUAUAAUGUUAAAAUGUAGGUGAGUUUCAUGUUUAUAGCAAAUUAGCAUCUGAUGUUUCAAAAAAACUUAUUAGGCUAAAGUUCAAUUUUAAACCGAGAAAUAUGAAAAACAUUAUAGAUAAAUGUGUCAGGUGUGCCAUGACAUUCAAAGCGAAAUGAAGUAUGUUUUAACUGUUAGGUGUUAGUUACUUGAAAUAAAUUACUUGCAUUUGAUAGGCUAUUGUUGCUUCAUAGUCUUACUCAAAUGGAGGGGAAUGCGUUUGUAUACAUUGGGGAUACAAUUUUAUACGACGUGCUUUCGUAUAACUAAUAAACAACUAGUAAUGCCAAAUUGAAAAUGUAAACUGACUAAGUAAAAUGGCAGAGGCCUUGAGGAUUAACCUCAAGGUUACUGGCUCCAAUCACCAUACUUACUUAGGAACUAGGAAAUUAUCAAGCAAGCCCAACUUUACAUUUGUGUGAUGAUCUACUCUAUUGUAUUAAUCUGCAAAUGCAUUGAGAAAUGAAGAGUUAAAACUUAUGAUUCUUUUGGAUAUGAUUUUAGGAAGGACAUGAGCAGUUAAUAAAAGAAAUUUCAAUUUCUCACGUUUGGUGGAGAAGAAUCAGUUAUAACAUUGAACAAGAUAUAGAGAGUUUCUAGGAAUUUUCAGAAAAUGAAUUACUUACUUACACAUAUUGUUAUAUAUCUCUUCCAUUCUAUUUACUUACACAUAAAAUUGAAAACUUCUUUGUUUACAGAGGAAUGCUUGUGGUAUGGUCUUCCAAUGUGUGACAGAUCAAGACAAAUAAUCCCCAGAUUACUUCGAAAGAUUAACAGAAUGGAGCAAGAGAUGGAGAACAUGCGUGCCAUAGGCAACAAACGCAGAAUAAAAUUAAUUAUUGCACUUGUUUGUUCUUGGUUAUUAAUUUUAAUCAUGUUAUUGUAGAUGGAGUAAAUAUUAUCAUUUGGGUUGAUUAAACUUCUAGUAUAGUUUGUUGUAACUUUAUCCAAGAUAGACUAAAUAUUGUCAUUUGGGUUGUAGCCUUCUAGCAUAUGUAAGAAUUGUUUUGUCUUUGUGUUUGUGUUUUUUUUUUGAACUUGUGGGUUAUUCUUGCCUGGUUGUGAAUUCUUAAUGGCUGCCUCAAAGUAUAUGGUUAUUUCUUUUAACAUGUGAUUUAUUCAGUGUAUAACUUGUAUUAGUAACAACAUGAUAGUAUUUUCUGUAUGUAAGAACUAUUUAUUGAUAAUCUUUUUCCCAAAUAAAAUUCAAGACCAAGUGAGGUAUACAUACAGUCACACACAAACGCAAUGAUCAGAAAAGGAACUCCGACUUUUCUGUUGAUUUUUCCUUCAUUAAUAUUAAAGCUUGAAUUGUGACUUGUCCUCAUAAAUGGCCUACAAAAGUGUGGACAAGUUUUGAGGGUCAGAGAACAUGUCCUCUAAACCAGUGAUCACCUUCACUUCAUG
rnacentral:lncRNA from 1 species